CAUUAUCAUUAUCAUUAUUUAUAUGCAUAUUUUAUAAUACCAAGUCAAAAGUGGGUUAAAGGGCACUUUUGUUCAGAAAUUAAAAAGAGAAAUUAGUUUAUUUAUUCAAAAAAGAGUAAGAAAAAGAGGUGGCUUAUUUGGGCCCCGCAACUGUCCCAAAGAAUACGGGCUAAUCUCUUUUAAUGGGCCAUGCAGUUCAUGUCCCUAUCGUAAAUGGGCUAUACUCUGAAUUUUUUUACCCUAUAUUCUAAUAAUCUCCAUAAAGUAUAAACUCUACAUUUUCCUCAUACCAUUCAUUUUACUUUUUUUAAAUAAAAAACAAAAAAUUAAAAUUCUAUAAUCGGAAAAAUUUGGAAAUUUUUGGGAAUUUCAAUUUUUUUUAAACUAGUGACAAACUCAGUUUUUCAUUUUUUUUAAAAUAAACUAUAAAUCUAGAUUUUUAGAGAAAAUGUGGGGAUAGGAAUAUAAUUGUUGCUGUAUAGGAUAAAAUUUUCUAAUUUUGGCUUUGGAGAUAUCAAAUCACACUUGCAAACAAAAUUUGGUUAACCAAUGAAAAAGAGAAAAAGGAAGAUAACGCAUUGUUAAACAUUACAAAGUGAAUUUCGCAUAACUUUAGUUAAUGAUGAAUGAUACUUUGAAGUAACAAGUUUGGUUCUAAAACAAUCAUGAUAAAGAUAAGGUUAAUGAUUUAUAAAAGUUAAAAAGAAAAAGAUACUGUAACAUCAUUUCCCUUGAAAGUGCAUUGAACUUUUGCAAGUGAUAAGCCUCUUUUCAUUUCUACUUUAUAUAAUUUUUUUUUUGGUUACAUACUUUAUAUAAAUUUUUAUUGGAUCUGAAAAGUGAAAGCUGGAUUCCAUGCAUAUGAUUGUGAGUAAAGAGAGUUUCAAAUCCAAUAAAAUGGUUCUUUUGCUUUACUACUUUGACUGUUGCGGUACGUUGCCCAUAGAAGCCCAAGAUAUUUUUGUUGAAUAUCAAGACUUUAUUUUAAUUUGAUUUGAACAAUUAUUUGGUGUAGACUAUGGUAUUUCCAUGGUUUAUGUGAUAUGGUUGUUU
rnacentral:lncRNA from 1 species